CAAGAUGGCGGCUGCGGUUCCCUCAGGUUCUCAGGAAGUUUUCGCCGAGGGCCUGGGUGGCUUCGCCCAGAAGCACCGCCCAGCAGGUUUCUCCUCGAGCCUCAUUGGCCAGAAUUGGGUCACGUGUCCAUGGCUGCCUCGGGGUGUUUGAAGAGUCAAAGAGGGAGGAUUCAGACACGUUGCAAUUCUCUUGGACAUUGCGAGGGAGCGUGAGCGUGGCGCACAUCUUCCCAAAACUGAGACUAUUAAGUGACAUGGGCACAGAUACAGCAAGAAGGCAGCUGUCUUUGGGCCAGGAAGAGGGCUUUCACCAGAUCCCGACCACGCUGGCACCCUGAUCUCAGAUAUCCAGCUUCUGGAACCAAGGAAGAUGCUGAUUGUCAACUGGGAGUUCUUGGGAAAUGCCAUGGGCUCCUCCCAUCCCCCCAUGGACUGAGGCUGGAUCUGAAAAUCCUGGAAGUUUUUUCCCUGAACUGAGAGCUGAUGAAGGUGGGAGAGAGCCAGCUUUUAAGGGACUUUCAUAGGAACUGCAACAAUAGCAGUGCUGUGCCCUGUGAGAGCUGCAAAUGGGGUCCCCAGCAAGAGGGAAUACAGAGAUGCAUAUGCUUGAGCUGUUCUACCAUCUAAAUGUCCAUAAUGAAAAAAACUUGUAUAAAAUGCAAUAAAAUAGGUCUGUGAAUUCAGCCUUAAAAAAUCAUGUGCAUCUGGGUUUUGUCCUGAAGAAGAAAAAAAUCCAUGACCAGUUUGGUGAAGUUGGAUGAGGGGAGUGAUUAAACAGUUAUUAUUGGAUUUUGUGUUUUUCACAAAAAUAAUACAUAUUCAUUAUUAAAAAUUCAAGUAAUGUAUAAGUAAUAGUCUAUCAGUUAGGAAUGCUUCUGGGACAAAUAACAAUAAACUCAGUAAACUUGGCUUAAAAGACAAGAGUGUAUUGUUAAUUAACAGGAAGCCUGAAGGUAGGUAGUUCUGGGCUGGGUUUAGGGACUAAACAAUAUCAACAAGAACCCAAAUUCCUUUGUUCUUCCUGCCCUGCUGUACUCAUUGUGUUGGUGAUGUCUCCCUUCAUGGUUACAAGAUGGCAGCCAUAGCUCCAGACACCAGGUUCUCAUGUCACAGUUUCAAACAGUAAGGAAAGGAGUAAAAUGGGGGCCAAAAAAACCCUCAUCCUCCUUUAUUAAAUUUUAUUUUCUUUCCCAGAAUCUAUUUUCUUCAUCCACAGAGUUGGGUGGACUUCUGUUCAAGCCCUAGCUCUCCCUCUCAGCCUCUUUGAGCUUCAAUUUCUCCAAUUCAGAAAUGGAAAUAAUAGUUCUUUUCCUCAUAGGGUGUUGUGAGAAUUAAAUA